ensembl:lncRNA
AUGGAUUUGGAUGGAGAUGAGAUUCGCUGUCGUUAUAAGAAGACUGACCUUGGUGAAUUUCUGCAGCUUAAUGAAGAGACGUGUACACUGCUGUAUGAAGGUGGAGCGCAUUUGGGUCAAUAUUCAGUACAGAUCAUGGUGGAGGAUUUUCCUCCAUCUCUGAAGAACCAGAUUCGCAGCGAGGCUUUCUCCACUGUAUCGGUGCAUCUCCUAAUAACAGUUGAAAGCGGAGCCGGCUGCUCAGUCGUGCCGGAGUUCACAGGUGUCAGUCCAGCAGGAGGCGCUGUGAUCCACGUACUACCCUUUGAGGAGGUCCAUGUCAACAUUACAGUGGACUCAAGAGUACAGAGUGUGUCUGAAAUUGCUGUGACUGGUCCACCGGGCCUCUUCAUAUCACAAAUGGAAAUAGGCCAGAAUUUCCAGAGCUCCGUCACGCUGUCCUGGGUCAGAGGUCCGAAUCCGUUCACCCAUCUGCUGUCUGUUUGUUUCGCUGCAAAUACUCCGAGCCUGCAGUCUAACGUCAGGUGCAUAUGGCUUCAACAAACGCAAACAGACCCUUUGCCACCCGGAACAGAGUUGAAAUGUAAGGAGCGCGAGCUUCAGAUGUCUCUAGUGCUGCCCAUUACCUUCCUGGAGAAUCUGCAUUUCUCUGCUCUCCAGCUGAAUGAUCCGACCUGCCCAGUGUUUUAUAACUCGACCCACGUCACCGCCACCUUCCCUCUGACGGGCUGCGGAACCAAGAGGAUGCAUUUAGGAUCAGAAUUGGUGUACACCAACACUUUACGCAGCAUCAAUCCCAACACCACUAUAAGCCGUGUGGCCACUCUCAUCCUGCCACUCGCCUGCCGGAUUCCCGGUCAACAAGCUAAAGGUCCAGCUUUUAAGAUCUCCAUUCCUGAAGAAGUGAAGACAUUUGGUGUAGUGUCUUUCUGGCUCGAGUUCCACCCUCCAGGAGAGGGUCCUAUGGCCGCCGAAACGCGUCUGCCGCGUUUGCGCGGUUCACCGCCAGUGCGCGAGGCUCGAGAGCUACGUGCUACACGCAAGAUGGACAAGCUGGACCUGCAUGUGUUUUCGAACUGCUCUUUGGCUCGUGCUGAGCUCAUGGUGGGCCGCUGUGUUGAGUCGGAAACAGAAAACUUUAAAAAUACAAGGCCUCUGCUGAACCAGGGCUGUGCAUCUGGAAAUGGAACCUUGGAGAUCUUGAUAUCAAAUUCAACUGUUCGGAUUUUCCGCUUAUAUCUUGGUUCUUUGGGUAUAAAGGGAGACACGAUGUAUGUUGAGUGUGUAGUGCACCUUUGUGUUACUACCAAACAAACCGACAGGUGUUUGGAUCCAUGUACGGAAACACCGGACCUGACGAUAGUAGACAGCAUUCUGACCCGCAGCUACACUGUACGCUCAGGGCCUGUUUCUCUCAUUAAAGUCACAGAAACCACUACAACUGCUAAGAUAGUAGACAGCAUUCUGACCCGCAGCUACACUGUGCGCUCAGGGCCUGUUCCUCUCAUUAAAGUUACAGAAACCACUACAACUGCUAAACCAACCCAAACCACUAAUCCAGUCACUCAGCCUUCCACCAGCCAGCUGUGGAUACAGGUGCAUUCUGGAUAAUCACAGUGUCAUUGUGUGUGCUCAUGCUUCUCCCAUGAACUGUUACUACGCAUUGGAGAACUUUGUAGAGCAGUUCAUCGCUGACUAAUCAAAACAUCUUUUCUUUUUUCUUAACCACCAUUACAAUGUUUCUUUAUAUAUCCUUUAAUCACGUCAAUUUUGGGUAGCAUCAAGAAACACAUGAACCCCUGCUCUUCUAAUCUUUUAUUUUUAAGCAACUAUAAUAGCAUUAUAUAAUUUCAUAAUAUUAUGCCUUUUUUAACAAGAAUAAAUAAAUAAAUAAAUCACAAAUUAAAGUGUAAUGUGAAACUUCUAACAUUUAUUCACCCUCAUGUUUUUCCAAACCAGUAUGAAGGAAUAAAGACUGAGAUGUUUGUCAGAAUGUUGACGCUUCUCUUUUCCAUAUGAUAUCAUGAAAGUGGACAGUAACCAGCGGCUGUUGAGCUCCAAAAUAAAUAAUUAAAUACACUUCUGCAUUUGUGAGGAAAAGACCAACAUUUAACCCAUAAUGCACUGC